GCAAGUCGAGGGGCAUCAGGAAGAAAGCUUGCUUUCUUUGCUGGCGACCGGCGCACGGGUGAGUAACACGUAUCCAACCUGCCCUUUACUCGGGGAUAGCCUUUCGAAAGAAAGAUUAAUACCCGAUGGGAUAAUCAUUCCGCAUGGUUUGAUUAUUAAAGGAUUCCGGUAAAGGAUGGGGAUGCGUUCCAUUAGGUUGUUGGUGAGGUAACGGCCCACCAAGCCUUCGAUGGAUAGGGGUUCUGAGAGGAAGGUCCCCCACAUUGGAACUGAGACACGGUCCAAACUCCUACGGGAGGCAGCAGUGAGGAAUAUUGGUCAAUGGGCGAUGGCCUGAACCAGCCAAGUAGCGUGAAGGAUGACUGCCCUAUGGGUUGUAAACUUCUUUUAUAUUAGAAUAAAGUGCAGUAUGUAUACUGUUUUGUAUGUAUAAUAUGAAUAAGGAUCGGCUAACUCCGUGCCAGCAGCCGCGGUAAUACCGGAGGAUCCGAGCGUUAUCCGGAUUUAUUGGGUUUAAAGGGAGCGUAGGUGGACUGGUAAGUCAGUUGUGAAAGUUUGCGGCUCAACCGUAAAAUUGCAGUUGAUACUGUCAGUCUUGAGUACAGUAGAGGUGGGCGGAAUUCGUGGUGUAGCGGUGAAAUGCUUAGAUAUCACGAAGACUCCGAUUGCGAAGGCAGCUCACUGG
rnacentral:rRNA from 1 species